rnacentral:rRNA from 1 species
CCCGCUGAACUUAAGCAUAUCAAUAAGCGGAGGAAAAGAAACUAACAAGGAUUCCCCUAGUAACGGCGAGUGAAGCGGGAAGAGCUCAAAUUUAAAAUCUGGCGGUCUCUGGCCGUCCGAGUUGUAGCCUAGAGAAGCGUUUUCUGCGGCGGACCAUGUACAAGUCUCUUGGAACAGAGCGUCAUAGAGGGUGAGAAUCCCGUCCUUGACAUGGACCCCCGUCGCUCUGCGAUGCGCUCUCGAAGAGUCGAGUUGUUUGGGAAUGCAGCUCAAAAUGGGUGGUAAAUUCCAUCUAAAGCUAAAUAUUGGCGAGAGACCGAUAGCGAACAAGUACCGUGAGGGAAAGAUGAAAAGCACUUUGGAAAGAGAGUCAAACAGUACGUGAAAUUGCUGAAAGGGAAACGCUUGAAGUCAGUCACGUUGGCCAGGGAUCAACCUUGCUUUUGCUUGGUGUACUUUCUGGUUGAUGGGUCAGCAUCAAUUUUGACCAUUGGAAAAAGGUCAAGGGAAUGUGGCAUCUUCGGAUGUGUUAUAGCCCUUGGUUGCAUACAAUGGUUGGGAUUGAGGAACUCAGCACGCCGCAAGGCCGGGUUUUUAACCACGUACGUGCUUAGGAUGCUGGCAAAAUGGCUUUAAUCGACCCGUCUUGAAACACGG